rnacentral:rRNA from 1 species
AUUGAACGCUGGCGGCAGGCCUAACACAUGCAAGUCGAGCGGCAGCGGGACCUUCGGGUUGCCGGCGAGCGGCGGACGGGUGAGUAAUGCCUAGGAAUCUGCCUGUUAGUGGGGGAUAACGCGGGGAAACUCGCGCUAAUACCGCAUACGUCCUACGGGAGAAAGCGGGGGCUCUUCGGACCUCGCGCUAACAGAUGAGCCUAGGUCGGAUUAGCUAGUUGGUGGGGUAAUGGCCCACCAAGGCGACGAUCCGUAACUGGUCUGAGAGGAUGAUCAGUCACACUGGGACUGAGACACGGUCCAGACUCCUACGGGAGGCAGCAGUGGGGAAUAUUGGACAAUGGGCGAAAGCCUGAUCCAGCCAUGCCGCGUGUGUGAAGAAGGUCUUCGGAUUGUAAAGCACUUUAAGUCGGGAGGAAGGACUGUAGGCUAAUACCUUGCAGUUUUGACGUUACCGACAGAAUAAGCACCGGCUAACUUCGUGCCAGCAGCCGCCGUAACAC